AUAUACANUUGAGGCAAAGGGCCAGCCUGUGAAGACCAUGAGCUCUGAGAGGUGGCAGAUAGAGCAAAGAUGCAAAUAAUGUGCUCUCUGAGGGAUCUGUGCCCUUCUCAUUGAAUUCCAGGAACUGGAUCUUGGGCCUCUCUGCGUUAGGCAACCAGGAACAAGUUCCACCAGCGUUGAAGGUAGGUGGGAGGUAAGUAAGAAGAAGACAUGAGGUGGGGAGAGUCCUGAAAACACAGGUCAGUGUUUGGAAGCAUCUCAAGGUGCCUGGGAUGGGGAAUAGCCAUCUAGAGUUCAGGAGUGGAAGUUUUAGAAUGAGAUGCACCUGUGUCUAACUUUAAGCCUUCUGCUUACUUCCCCAGGACCUUGGGUCAUGCACUUACUACUGUAUCUGUACCCAAUGAGCUGUGAAGUGGAGAUAAUAAUAGUGCAAUACCUAUCUGUUGAGGUUGUUGUAAGGAUGGCAUGGCUAAUGCAUUUGAGGAUGUCAGCAGGGCACUGAUACAUGGAAAGAAUGUGAAUGGUGUCUCCUGGAGCUGCACACUGCAGUGUCCCUCAACAUCAGCAUGAAUACUGAGCUUAGCUGUAUUGGACUUCACUGCUUAUCCCACAUUUUUCUGCCAGCAAUACUGAGAAGAGACCACAUAGGGGUUAUUUGUCCCCAAUUUCCAUUGAGUCAACUGGGGCUUGGAGGGUGUCAACUCAUGUCUUUACCCCUUUUGCAGCAUUAUAUGUCCGUUAGUUGGUUUUAUACAGCAGGAGUAAUUUCAUGUAUAUGAAAAUAUGUCAUAAUGUAUCACCGUAUUCUUCCCACUCAAAUUCAGUAAAUAUUGACAUUUUGCUUUUUUGCUCUAGACAAUAAAAGAGAUAAACUACUAUAAAGGUCACCUUCUCCUCCAUCAGCUCCUCCUUCCUUGAUUAUGA
rnacentral:lncRNA from 1 species